AAAAAUAGCCCAGCCGCCGCACCACCCUGCCUCCUCGAUCCCAUCUUCACCUCCAGCCCGCCGCCACCUCCUGCCCCGCUCCGCUUCGCCGUGCGCCGCCCGUCCCCGCCGCCGCCACCUCCUGCUCCGCCCCGCCCCGCGACCCCUGCCGCCGCCACUUCCCGCCCCGCCCUGCCGCGCGCGGCCCCUCUUCUCCAUCUCUCCCUCGCCAUCUCCCUCCCCCCUCCCUGUUCCACCCCCACCCCUACUCCCAGCAGGCUCAACCAUGGUGGUCAACACGGGGACGUGAGCGUGCACGGGUGGCGCCGGUGGACGAGAUCAAAAUCGGUUGAUGAUGGAGCGCAAGUAGCACAAGUUAAUCAUGUGCACUUCCCAUUAUUGAAUAUCAGAUAUGCCAAACUAAAGGAGGCGGCUAGAGGAAGCAUUGGAGGCCAAGUUCAGCAGCAACGGUCAGCUGUCGUCGGUGGCCGGCCGGCGACAUUUGCGAAGGAAUGAGGGUGGCUGGAGACCGACAACAGGGGGCUGUCGAACUAGCCAAGCUACCAUCACUCCAUCAUCCCCGGAGAUCGUUCGGUGAUGUCCAAUGCAUCAUGUCAUGGAUUGGAGCGCGGACUGCCCUGCGCAAGUAGGUUAUGUGCUUGAGACGAUUGAAUGUCCGAUAAUAUGAUAAACCUGCAGCGAACAGCAGCUCCAAACUCCAUUGCUUGAUCUCAAGAUAGCUCUAUUAAAUCUCUUGAUGGUAUAACAGGACAUUAGCAGGAAUUCCUGAUGACUGAGGAAAUUAUGGCAGACAUUCUUGAUGGUAUAUUAAAUCUUGGUUUGAUGGGUACUUUUCUGAAGAAACUAUUGAGUCCCAGGCGGAUCAACUUAUUUUCACGUCAGGUUUUAGGUGUUUCCAAGCUAGGCUGCGAUUUCUUCUUCAGAAGACCACACCGCGGGCAUUAUCUUAAGUGGACCAUUGACCUGCAAUUUUUGCCUUUCGCAUGUACAGGCUUAUUAUGUGUGGAUUUUGAAAGCUAUUUCUACAUAUUCUAUCUCCUUUGAGACUAAA